ensembl:lncRNA
GUUGGCUUGAAGAUGAAGGGGUCCACCUGUCAAGGAAACAGGACUUCAGUCAUAUAGCUGCAGUGAACCGAGUUCCAGUAACAACCUGGAUGAACUUAGAAGUGGGUUAUUUCCCAGAGUAUCCAGGGAAGAGCUCAGCACUGUCAACACCUGUAUUUUAGCUUUAAGAGGCUCUAAGCAGAGGACACAGCUGAGCCACACUGUGCCUGGAUUUCUGAUGCAUCGACACUGUGAGGCAAACCUAAUCCUGACUAAUGCAAAUACCAAGAAUCCAAAGUUGAAAUGUUGACCCUGGAGACAGUGUUGGAGCAGCAAAGAAUGUUCUCACAUAAGGGGCUGAGCUAAGUGAAGAAAGUCAGCCCAUGGUGGGGAAGUCUUCCUUGGGGACAAGAAGUGAUUACUUGACAUAGUGGAAGAAAGCUGGAAAUAGCACAAGGAAACUGGGAAGGAAGAGAGGACAACUAUAAGGGAUCUUAGCUCCUGGACCAGGGAUGGAAGCCCUGCCUCCUGCAGUGGAAGCUCAGAGUCCUAACCACUAAACCACCCAGGGAAGCCGCCUUCCUUCCGUCUUUUAUUGAAAUACAUCUGUGC